rnacentral:rRNA from 1 species
UACGUAGGGACCAAGCGUUGUUCGGAUUUACUGGGCGUAAAGGGCGCGUAGGCGGCAAUUCAAGUCAUCUGUGAAAUCUCCGGGCUUAACUCGGAACGGUCAGAUGAUACUGCUUUGCUAGAGUGCAGAAGGGGCAAUCGGAAUUCUUGGUGUAGCGGUGAAAUGCGUAGAUAUCAAGAGGAACACCUGAGGUGAAGACGGGUUGCUGGGCUGACACUGGCGCUGAGGCGCGAAAGCCAGGGGAGCAAACGGG